UACAGAGGGGGCAAGCGUUGUUCGGAAUUACUGGGCGUAAAGGGCGCGUAGGCGGCCUGCUAAGUCGAACGUGAAAUCCCCAGGCUCAACCUGGGAACUGCGUCCGAUACUGGAUGGCUUGAAUUCGGGAGAGGGAUGCAGAAUUCCAGGUGUAGCGGUGAAAUGCGUAGAUAUCUGGAGGAAUACCGGUGGCGAAGGCGGCAUCCUGGACCGACAUUGACGCUGAUGAGCGAAAGCCAGGGGAGCAAACGGG
rnacentral:rRNA from 1 species